CUACGGGUCGCAGCAGUGAGGAAUUUUGCGCAAUGGGGGGAACCCUGACGAAGCAACGCCGCGUGAGUGAUGAAGGCUUUCGGGUCGUAAAGCUCUGUCAAGUGGGAAGAACCUAUGCAGUGUUAAUAUCACUGUAUACUGACGGUACCACUGAAGGAAGCACCGGCUAACUCCGUGCCAGCAGCCGCGGUAAUACGGGGGGUGCAAGCGUUAUUCGGAAUCAUUGGGCGUAAAGGGCACGUAGGCGGCUUGGUAAGUCAGAUGUGAAAGCCCGGGGCUUAACCCCGGAAGUGCAUUUAAUACUGUCAGGCUUGAGUAUGGGAGAGGGAAGUGGAAUUCCUGGUGUAGAGGUGAAAUUCGUAGAUAUCAGGAGGAACACCGGUGGCGAAGGUGACUUCCUGGACCAAUACUGACGCUGAGGUGCGAAGGCUUGGGUAGCAAACAGGAUUAGAUACCCUGGUAGUC
rnacentral:rRNA from 1 species